GACGAACGCUGGCGGCGUGCCUAAUACAUGCAAGUUGAGCGAUGAAGAUUGGUGCUUGCACCAAUUUGAAGAGCAGCGAACGGGUGAGUAACGCGUGGGGAAUCUGCCUUUGAGCGGGGGACAACAUUUGGAAACGAAUGCUAAUACCGCAUAAUAACUUUAAACAUAAGUUUUAAGUUUGAAAGAUGCAAUUGCAUCACUCAAAGAUGAUCCCGCGUUGUAUUAGCUAGUUGGUGAGGUAAAGGCUCACCAAGGCGAUGAUACAUAGCCGACCUGAGAGGGUGAUCGGCCACAUUGGGACUGAGACACGGCCCAAACUCCUACGGGAGGCAGCAGUAGGGAAUCGUCGGCAAUGGACGAAAGUCUGACCGAGCAACGCCGCGGGAGUGAAGAAGGUUUUCGGAUCGUAAAACUCUGUUGGUAGAGAAGAACGUUGGUGAGAGUGGAAAGCUCAUCAAGUGACGGUAACUACACAGAAAGGGACGGCUAACUACGUG
rnacentral:rRNA from 1 species